GAGACACCCUUCAGGGGCAGGACUUGCUUCAAUGGGGCUUUGUUGCUCACUGAGUCUACCCCUUGAGUGUGUCGCU
rnacentral:pre_miRNA from 1 species